GGUCUUAAUUAGGAUUUCAUCAUUGUGCGCUACUUUGUACUUAAAUUGUUCUCGACGUUCUUUUUAGCUCUAAAUUCAUAUUUUUCAUAUGACUGACUACUGUUUUUGCAUUCUUGAAAUUUAGCAUGGUAGGGACCCAAAACUGACAAAUGAAGAUAUUUGUAUGGACUACCUUAUCGCUGGUGCUCAAAAUAUUGUUUGUGCUUACAGCUACAGUGGCUAUACUGGUGAGGAUCUCCGUGGAAUCCCAAACAACCUCAUGCCCUUUGUAUAGCAAGUUGCUGUCGGCAAGCGUCCUGCCUUGACAGUCUUUGGAACUGACUAUUCAACAAAAGAUGGAACUGGAGUAAGUUUAUCGUACGUGAUUAUAUUCACGUUGUUGAUUUAGCUGAUGGACACAUUGCUGCAUUGCACAAGCUAGAUGCGGCUGGUAUAGUGCAUUAUCAUUGACUGUUUAACAGGGCUGAUCGAUCUUUGUUGCCUUAUGGUGCUUGGUCUUGAAUAUAUUCUUUUUCAAGAAGUUGUUCAAGGGAAGGGUUGAGAAAGGAAAUGAGAUUACUUGAAAUAAAACAUGGUUUGCUUCAACUAGCAGAGUCUUUAAACUUUCUUCAUAGCAAUGCACAUCUCAUUCAUCGUGCUAUAUCUUCGGAGGUAUCAAUUUUAUUUCAACGUU